rnacentral:rRNA from 1 species
CCUACGGGGGGCUGCAGUGGGGAAUAUUGGACAAUGGGCGAAAGCCUGAUCCAGCCAUGCCGCGUGUGUGAAGAAGGCCUUCGGGUUGUAAAGCACUUUCAGUGGGGAAGAAAGCCUUGGGGCUAAUACCCUCGAGGAAGGACAUCACCCACAGAAGAAGCACCGGCUAACUCCGUGCCAGCAGCCGCGGUAAUACGGAGGGUGCGAGCGUUAAUCGGAAUUACUGGGCGUAAAGCGCGCGUAGGCGGUCUGAUAAGCCGGUUGUGAAAGCCCCGGGCUCAACCUGGGAACGGCAUCCGGAACUGUCAGGCUAGAGUGCAGGAGAGGAAGGUAGAAUUCCCGGUGUAGCGGUGAAAUGCGUAGAGAUCGGGAGGAAUACCAGUGGCGAAGGCGGCCUUCUGGACUGACACUGACGCUGAGGUGCGAAAGCGUGGGUAGCAAACAGGAUUAGAUCCCGUGUAGUC